CCUAGGGGAGGCAGCAGUGAGGAAUAUUGGUCAAUGGACGGAAGUCUGAACCAGCCAAGUAGCGUGCAGGAUGACGGCCCUAUGGGUUGUAAACUGCUUUUAUGCGGGGGUAAAGUGAGCGACGUGUCAUUCAUUUGCAAGUACCGCAAGAAUAAGGACCGGCUAAUUCCGUGCCAGCAGCCGGGUAU
rnacentral:rRNA from 1 species